rnacentral:rRNA from 1 species
AUUGAACGCUGGCGGCAUGCUUUACACAUGCAAGUCGAACGGUAACAGGUUAAGCUGACGAGUGGCGAACGGGCGAGUAAUGCAUCGGAACGUGCCCGAUCGUGGGGGAUAACGCAACGAAAGCUGCGCUAAUACCGCAUACGAUCUGAGGAUGAAAGCGGGGGACCGUAAGGCCUCGCGCGAUCGGAGCGGCCGAUGUCCGGUUAGGUAGUUGGUGGGGUAAAGGCUCAACAAGCCGACGAUCUGUAGCUGGUCGGAGAGGACGACCAGCCACACUGGGAGUGGGACACGGCGCGGACUGCUACGGGAGGCAGCAGUGGGGAAUUGUGGACAAUGGGCGCAAGCCUGAUGCAGCAAUGCCGCGUGCAGGAAGAAGGCCUUCGGGUUGUAAACUGCUUUUGUACGGAGCGAAAAGGCUCUCUCUAAUACAGGGGGGCCAUGACGGUACCGUAAGAAUAAGCACCGGCUAACUACGUGCCAGCCGCCGCCGUAA